rnacentral:rRNA from 1 species
AUGACCCUUGCUAAAAUCUGGGAUCAGAAUACUAUAAAAUUGACUUUCAGGAGGAUCUUUACCCCCACUAUGAUGGAGAGCUGGUAUUGCCUUGAGCAAAUUAUUACUAGCACCAUCUACUCAGCAGGGGAGGACAAUCUAAUUUGGCAGCAUGAAUCCAAGGGGGAGUACACAACUGGGUCCCUCUAUAGUAUAAUUAACUUUAGAGGAGUGCAACCGGUUUACAUCCCCUCGGUUUGGUCUGUUAAUGUGCCCCCUAGAGUGCAGGUGUUCCUGUGGCUUCUCUCUCACAAUAAGCUCAUGACUAGAGAUAACCUCUCUAAAAGAGGCAUUGAAAGAUCUCUGGAAUGUGUUUACUGCUCUGAGAAAGAAUCAAUACAUCAUCUUUUUUCGACUGUAUUGUUGCAAAACAGAUGUGGAGCUCUGUUUCAGAAUUUUUCUCCUGUACUUUAG